rnacentral:lncRNA from 1 species
CCAGCUUUUCCUCGCCAGGAGCCCGGCUUCCACUCCCCACGUGGGAAUAGUCCAUCCCCAGAUUCGCCAUUGUCCACCCCUUGCCCUGCCCUCCUUUGCCUUCCACCCCCACCAUCCAGAUGGAGACCCUGAGAAGGGCCCUGGGAGCUCUGGGAAUUUGGAGUGACCAAAGGUGUGCCCUGUACACAGGCGAGGACCCUGCACCUGGAUGGGGGUCCCUGUGGGUCACACUGGGGGCGGGGGCGGGGGCUGUGGGAGUAAAAUACUGAAUAUAUUGAGUUUUUCAGUUUUGAAAAAAAUCUCAUGUUUGAAUCGUAACAUGCACUGCAUAGACACCACUGUAUGCGUUUACAGAAGCCUGUGAGUGAACGGGGUGGUGGUCAGUGCGGGCCCAUGGCCUGGCUGGGCCUGGGAGGUUUCUGAUGCUGUGAGGCAGGAGGGGAAGGAGGGUAGGGGAUAGACAGUGGGAGCCCCCACCCUGGAAGACAUAACAGUAAGUCCAGGCCCGAAGGGCAGCAGGGAUGCUGAGGGCCCAGCUUGGGCAGCGGGGAUGAUGGAGGGCCCGGCCGGGGUGGCAGGGAUGAUGGGGGCCCCAGCUGGGGUGGCAGGGGUGAUGGUGGGGGGCUGGUCUGGGUGGCGGGGAAGAUGGGGAAGCCUGGCUGGGCCCCCUCCUCCCCUGCCUCCCACCUGCAGCCGUGGAUCUGGAUGUGCUUCCCUGGUGCACAUCCUCUGGGCCAUCAGCUUUCAUGGAGGUGGGGGGCAGGGGCAUGACACCAUCCUGUAUAAAAUCCAGGAUUCCUCCUCCUGAGCCACCCAACUCAGGUUGAAAGUCACAUUCUGCCUCUGGCCAUUCUCUUAAGAGUAGACCAGGAUUCUGAUCUCUGAAGGGUGGGUAGGUUGGGGCAGUGGAGGGUGUGGACACAGGGUGGGGCUGGUGAUGCUCUCUCAUCCUCUUAUCAUCUCCCAGUCUCAUCUCUCAUCCUCUUAUCUCCCAGUCUCAUCUCUCAUCCUCUUAUCUCCUAGUCUCAUCCAGACUUACCUCCCAGGGCGGGUGCCAGGCUCGCAGUGGAGCUGGACAUGCGUCCUUCCUCAGGCAGAAGGAACUGGAAGGAUUGCAGAGAACAGGAGGGGCGGCUCAGAGGGACGCAGUCUUGGGGUGAAGAAACAGCCCCUCCUCAGAAGUUGGCUUGGGCCACAUGAAACCGAGGGCCCGGCGUGAGUGGCUCCAGAGCCUUCCAGCGGGUCCCUGGUGGGGCCUUAUGGUAUGGCCGGGUCCUACUGAGUGCACCUUGGACAGGGCUUCUGGUUUGAGUGCAGCCCGGAUGUGCCUGGUGUCGGGGUGGGGGCUUAUGGCCACUGGAUAUGGCCUCAUUUAUUGCUGCUGCUUCAGAGAAUGUCUGAGUGACCGAGCCUAAUGUGUUUAUGGUGGGCCCAAGUCCACAGACUGUGUCGUAAAUGCACUCUGGCGCCUGGAGCCCCCGUAUAGGAGCUGUGAGGAAGGAGGGGCUCUUGGCAGCCGGCCUGGGGGCGCCUUUGCCCUGCAAACUGGAAGGGAGCGGCCCCAGGCGCCGUGGGCGGACGACCUCAGUGGGAGGUUGGACAGAACAGGGUGGGGACUCCCAGGAGCAGAGGCCGCUGCUCAGGCACACCUGGGUUUGAAUCACAGACCAACAGGUCAGGCCAACCCUUAAAAAAGGUAUUUGCUUUGAUAUGGCUUAACUCACUAAGCACCUACUUUGUCUGUUUUUAUUUAUUAAUUAUUAUUAUUAUUAUUAUUAGAGAUGGCGUCUACUCUGUCACCCAGGUUGUUAGUACAGUGGCACAGUCGUGGCUCGCUGUAGCCGCAAACCCCCAGGCUCAAGUGAUCCUCCGGCCUCAGCUUCCCAGCGUGCUGGGAUUACAGGUGUGAGCCACUGCCCUUGCCUGGCACUUUUAAAAACCACUAUGUAAGGUCAGGCCCGGUGGCUUCCACACCUGUCAUCCCAGUAGUUUGGGAAGCUGAGGCAGAAGGAUUGUCUGAGGCCAGGAGUUUGAGACCAGCAUGGGUAACAUAGGGAGACCCCAUCUCUACAAAAAAUGCAAAAAGUUAGCCGGGCGUGGGGUCCAGCAUCUGUAGUCCCAGCUGCUCGGGAGGCUGAGUGGGAGGAUUGCUUGAGCCCGGGAGGUCGUGGCUGCAGUGAGCUGUGAUUGUACCAUUGCACUCCAGCCUGGGC